AUUAUUAUUUUAAAUAUUAUUAAAAAACCUGUAACGAAACUAAAAUUAACCCUACUUAAAAUAUCUUCGAUGCCAUAAUGAUAAAUAAAUCUGCAUAAAAAACCUCCAUAUAAACAUACUUUAUACCAUAAUGAAUAAUAACCAUCUUAUCCACCUCCUCCACAAAAAACAUAUGUUUCACCAAAAUGAAAAUUAACACUGCUUAGAACAACCACCACAAAAACAUAUGUUACACCAAAAUGAUAAAUACCCCACUUAAAACAUAUAUUCAAUAACGCAACGGCACUAAAAUUAACCAUAGAAUUUUUUAUACAAACUUAUAACCAUGUUUAUACCAUAACCAAUGUUCUACAUAAUAAUAACAAUUAAUGGUCAUGGGCUAUAAGUGUACAUAACAAUUUAGUCAUUUCUACAUAUUUGUAUACAUUUCAAAAGGUAUAAUAGCUAUACUAAUCAUACUUCCGACAACACCACCAGCUUGGUACAUCGCAAUGCUCCAUACUUUGAGCAAAACAUCCCCUGCAAAUUGUACUUUAUUCUUCCACCAAUAAAAAAGAGCAAUGACACCAAACAAAUUCCAUGACUUCUUCCAUUGCACCAUUAUAACACCACUUAAAAGAUAGCUGUCAAAAUAUAAAUACCAAAACAACACGUAAUAGAUAGCUGUCAAAAUAUAAAUAUCAAAUCACCUUCACAGCUAUUAUUAUUGCACAAAAGAACCAAACUACUAUUUCAGCAUUAGAGCAAUUUCAUUUUUACCUUAAGAGCAAGAGCCCAAGAAAACUCCACGAUGAAGUUUAACUUGUAGUCAUUCUUUACUGAUUUACAAGGAAAUCCUGAACCAUUUCCAAGUGGUCUUCAGAAUCGGUACAAAAAAAUAGCAAGAUUUCAUUCGAAGGGUUUCCGAACUUUCGAAUAGCCAUGCGCACUUCUGCUGAAGUAAGGCCAUCAACACUACGAAGAGUUCCGGAAGUUCAAGGAACUUCUCUUGAACGAUGUCAGAGCGAACACUCUUUGAGAGUAUCAGGCAAGCUUCUUUCAUGUCGGCUGCCAUAGUAUUCACAGCCUCAGAAAUUGUUGAGAAGUCACCUUCAUUUUUUUUUCCACUUUCUUCCCGAAGAAGCAUUUCGCGGUUCCUCUCUACGUGGCAGAUGAGCAAGAGAAACGUUUCCAGAUGUGAGGGUAUUCGCAUUAGCAUAUUCAUUUUGAUUUGAAGGAUUCAUAUCAGCUUCUUCGACUGUUUUAGUGAAAUCUUCAAUCUCCAGCUCUUUGAGAAUAUCUUCAACAGCUUUAGCAUCCUAGCAUUUUAUGUCGCGAGUGAAACCGCUCCAUUUAGACUAAAAAGUUUUUCCCAUUUCGGAGAAUUAUCUUUGAUAUAAUGUGAAGGAUCGAGCUACUAAAAAGAAUGCUCAAGCUGUUGAAGAUAUUCUCAAAGAAGUGGAGAUUGAAGAUUUGAUUGGAGCAGUCGAAGAAGCUUAUGUGAAUCAUUCAAAUCAAAAUGAAUCUGCCAAUGCAAAUACCCUUACAUCAGGAGACGUUUCUCGUGCUCAUCUGCCACCUAGAGAGGAACCGGGAAGUGCUUCUUCAAGAAGAAAAAGGAAAAAGAAUGAAGGUGACUUCUCAACGAUUUCUGAGUCCGUGAAUACUAUGGCAGCCGACAUGAAAGAUGAUUGCCCGAUACUCUCAAAGAGUGUUCACUCUGACAUCGUUCAAGAGAAGUUCCUUAAACUUCCGAGAGCUCUUCGUAGUGUUGAUGGCCUUACUUCAGCAGAACUGCGCAUGGCUAUUCGAAAGUUCGGAAACCAUCCGAAUGAAAUCCUGCUAUAUUUUGGUACCGAUCUUGAAGACUACUUGGAAAUGGUUUAGGAUUUCUUUGCAAAUCAAUAAAGGAGGACCACAAGUUAAACUUCUUCGUGGAGUUUUUUUAGGCUCUUGCUCAUAAGGUAAAAAUGAAAUUGUUCUGAUGCUGAAAUAGUAGUUUGAUUCUUUUGUGCAAUAAUAAUAGAUGUGAAGGUGAUUUAGCAUUUAUAUUUUGGCAACUAUCUGUUGAGUGUUGUUUUGGUAUUUAUAUUUUGGUAGUUAUCUUUUGAGUGAUGUUAUAAUGGUGCAAUGGAAUAAGCCAUGAAGUUUGUUUGGUGUCA